rnacentral:lncRNA from 1 species
UUCCUAGUAAAUUUAUUCAUAACUACAACCCACAGAUAACCCAAAUACCGCUCAAGAGGAAGAUGAAUAAACAAAUUAUACUUAUUUAAUAAAAUAUUCCUCAAGAAUAAAAAGAAACUACUUAUAUACUAAAUAGCGUGGAUGGAUCCCAAAAGCAUUAUUCUGAGUGAAAAAAGCCAGACACGAUGACGCCAUAUGAAUAAACUUACAUAAUAUUUUAGAAGGAACAAAGCCAGUCCCUAGUGAUAGAAAGUAGACCCAUGUUGCCUGGGGCCAGAGGCUGAGAAUGAGUGGCUUUAAAUGUCCAUGAGUGAGAGUUUUGAAGGUGGAUGAAAACAUUCUACUUCUUGCUCUGGUAAUAGUUUAAUAGGUACAUGGAGUCAUGUGUUGGUUGAAACAUCAAACUCUGUCUUAAGUAGCAGAAACAACAGAAGUCCAUUACACAGAUUAUUCUUGACUCAAGCAACAAGAUCACUUUUUUUUUGAUUCCAGAAUACCAUGUGCUUUCCUGCACUAAGGUCUUUCAUAAUGCUGUUCCCUUUGCCAGGAAUGUCCAGUCUCAUCUCUUUAGGUGAGGUUCUACUAACCUUACAUGGCAUCUUUUCAAUGAUGUCUCUCUAAUUAAAUCUUGAGUUGUCAUGCUCUGAACCUUAUAAUUAUUUUUAUCCUUCAUGCUUUUUUCUUAAUCUGCCUUAUGUUAUAGUUAUUUAUUAUACUGCCCCUUACUUGUUCUCUGAUGAUCUAUAAGAUGCCUGAGAGCAAGGAUCCUUGUACCUCCAGAAGCCUAUUGCCCAAGAAUGAACCUGAGAGUGGGUGUUUGUUAUCAGUGUGCUGACAUAAAUUAAUUGCUAUGAAUUAAUGAAUUGUUUUAAGGUUCUGAUCCGAGAGAUGUGUGAAAUCACUUGCUUCCACAUGGAGAUACAUUUGAAAGAGACCUAAUAUUUUUCACUGUUGUGGGUGCCAGGUGUUCACCAUGGGAUCGGGAGGAUUUGCCCUUGGAUUAGAUUUUAAAAUUGAAAACAGCUACAUGUGAGUUGAGCCCAGAAGGAUAUAUGACAGCUUUAUAGAGACGUGUGGUGGUUGGGUCAUGAAAUGAAAGGGUUGCCAGUGUAAAACUAUUAUUUGUUCUGGGGAACUUCUAAAACAAAGGAAAAAUAAUUUUGCUUUUGUAAAACAUGAAAGCUGAUAGAUGGUAAUUAUUUUCUGCUUGGCUGCAAUUACGACUUCAUAACAUAAUAUACUGUAUUAAUGACUGUGCUGUGUUAAUUGGAGAAGCAGGUAUAUUAAGAACACCCAUGAGAUUUUAAUACUGGUAAUGUAUUUGAAUCUUUAACUUUGUGGAAAAUGGUGUGAAACAUUAUUUUUCAAUGCCAUGGCUUUUAUUCUCAAACCCAAAGAAUUAGAGUAAUGUGUUUGUAGCCUCAUCCACACAGAGAAUCAACUAAUUGGUAGUGUUUUACACAGUCUGUGCCAAGAAAUGCUCAACUUGAGAUUGGAAAGAUGUAAAUGCUAUAACCCAUGGUUACAGAGGAGAGAAAACUAACCCUAUUGUUCAAGUACCCCCGGCCAUUAUUCUCUUGGUUAUAAAGUUACUAAAAAGUGCUUUUCUGUGCACUAAUUAGAUGUGUAGACACAGACUGAAAUUUUGGAGUUGAUGAUGACAGAACCCAGACAUUUUCUGAGUUGAUAAGGCCUUUGUGCAGUCCUCAGCAUCUGUGUCUGUUUCUUGCUCGUAAUUGGGGAAAACAUCACAUAUAAACCUUGCUAGUGGAUAAGGGUAACUGGAGGGCACAGUCAGCAGCAGCUUCCCUGCUUCUUUUUUGCUUAAGCUUAGUCUUUCCCACUGGUAUAUUGACGAGAGUCCUGAGGUAAACAUUGUGAUAAAAAUAGCCAACAUUUAUUGAGUGCCAAGCGUGCUAAGCCCUUUACGUAUAAUCCUAAAAGAGCGAUAUUAUUAUUAUGCCCAUUUUACAGAUGGGUAAGCUGAGACUUGGGUUAGGUAAACCUGCCCAUGGUUAUAGGCCAGUGAAUGCUGAGGUUGGAAUUGUAAACACUGCUUUAUUUUUUGCAUCACUUUAAAAAUGAACUCUUUCAUGGUUGUGAUCUUUAGCUCUAAAAGGAGAUUAGAAAGAGCUGAAUAUACUAUCACAUGUUCAUCAAACAGGACUUAGAUAAACACACACUCUGUUCUAAGUAGCUUUUUGCUCAUGAUGGGCAAAGAGAAUUCAUAUAUGGCCAAAGGGGACAGCGUGGUUUUUUUUAUCCAUCUUCAAACUAAAGUUUGAGCCUUUUGAGCCUGCACAUAUAUCCAGCUACAAUCCAUACAUUUGCCUCUUAGUCUUGGCCUUGAAAAUCUAGUUUCAACAAUUUGUCGAUGCAUAGUUAAUGGAUUCAAUGUACGUGCACCCCACCCCCAGGAUGUAUAAGGUUGUUAUUUUACAUAUUUGUCACAAAUGACUGCAGCCUCCAUAUAUUAUUGGAGUGAGCUUUUCUAAUGGGGAUAAAUGUACCACACUGUGGACUCUCAAGAUGGCAAGAUACACAACUUAUGUUCAGUGAAGCGGGGGCAAAUAUAUUAUCCCUCUGCCCUGCUGUGACAUGCAUAUAUUCCAUUUGAGCGUCGCGAGGGCAUUAAAUCCAGAGAGAUCAAAAGAAAAUACAGAGACAGACUUCAGCUGCUGGUUCUUAAAGCAGUUUCUAUUGGCUCCACGCUAUUUGCAUAGAGUGUAGAAGGCUUAACUGCUUCAUCAAAAGAGAAAUUUUAUUGAAACAUUAUAUUUUUAUAAGUUUUUUUUUCUCCUGCAAGUUACAUUUCCCUAAAUUGCCUGAAAAUCCAGGGAGAUUUUUAAUAAAUGAGAACUCAAGGGAAAGCGUUCUCUUCUACUUUUGUAAUAAUGGAGUGUGGAAUACAAUUUUAAAAUGUUAUGUACACUUUUAUCAAAAGAACUUAAGUUCAGAAUUUUAUUUCCUAAAGACCUAGUUUUCACAAAACUUGUUUUAAAGAAUUAUUUGCAUCUGGCAGAUUUUCUUCCAUCCUUUUUGUGGUUGCCCUUUACAAAUGAAAAUACAGGUGCCCUGGUUAAUGAAUCUUUUGGGCAGGUACUGUCCAUUUUAUUUAGAAUAGCAACAAAAAGUGCAGAAUUGGGGAGAGAAGCUUUUCACAAGAGCUGUAAUUUUUGAUUCUUAUUUUUUGCAUAGCAUAGUAGACUAUUUACACUAGUGAAAGUGUUAUAGGCUGGGGUGAGCAUUCCAAGGGCUGGUAGAAUGUAUUAAGCAUUGCUUCUUUGCCUCAUAUAUGAAACUAAACACAGAGUCAGAACUGUGUCGUUGAACUUGGAGAAGUCAACCAGUCUGAUCGCUCAUCUCUGUGGAAAUAGAAGUAUGAAGAGACAGGUUAAAACUCUGGUUUUAAACCCUUGGCAGUAUUAAACAGAUUUCAGGAUGGCAUUAAACCAAGGGAUUUGAGCCAGACAUUGGGUAUUCAAGCUCCUAUGACUAUGACCUCUGAAACAGAAAGCAUUGUAAAGGAGGCUUCUGAGUUUGCACAGGAAGCUUGACAAUAGCUUUCCUCUAAAGAGAAAACUGAGACUUAAGGUGUCAUGAUUAAGUUCAUUGGCGUGAUCGAAUCAUUUCUCUCACACUGUUGAAAGCUGCAGGUUUGUCGUCCAGGUCUGUGGGAGCUCUACAAAAUUGUUAGGAACCCAGGCUCCUGUGUGUGUGUGUGUGUGUGUGUUCUCUCUUUCUCUCUCUCAGCCUUCCUUAGCAUGGUUCAAAAUGGUGACUGGAACUCUAGCUAAGGAGGAAAAGAUGAAAAAGCAGAGAAGUAGUACCUACAUGACAUGUUUUUAAAGGAAGUUUCCUAGAACCUGCCUCAUAGACCUUUUCUUACAUCUCACUGGCCCAAACUUAAUUCUGUGUCCACACCUAGCUAAACAGGAAGUUGGGAAACCUAGUUGAAAUUCUGAGAGUCCUCUGCUGAGCAAGAAUUCUGUCACUGAUCAAGAGAGAAGAAAGGAUAUUGAGGUGGGUAGCCUCAGUGAUAGGAAUUGCUUAGGAUCACAGAGUUUUCUAAUGACUGAGAUGAGAAGUAUAUCUCCUGGGAGUUCCCUGGUGGCUUAGCAGGUUAAGGACCUGGCUUUGUCACUUUUGUGUCAUGGGUUCAAUCCCUUGCCGUGGAGCUUCCACAUGCAGCAGUGC